rnacentral:rRNA from 1 species
GACGAACGCUGGCGGCGUGCUUAACACAUGCAAGUCGAACGGAAAGGCCUGCUUUCCCUUGUGGGUUGCGGGUGCUCGCGGGGGGAACGGGUGAGUAACACGUGAGUGAUCUGCCCCCAACUUGGGUAUAAGCCUGGGAAACUGGGUCUAAUUCCCGAUAGGACUGCAGGGGGGUGCCUGUGGUGGAAAAGGAUGUUGUAGUGGUUGGGGAUGAGCUCUCGGCUUGUCAGCUAGUUGGUGGGGGAAUGGGUUACGAGGGCGGCGGCGGGUAGCCGGCCAGGGAGGGUGGACGGCCACAUUGGGACGGCGACACGGCCCAGGCUCCUACGGCAGGCAGCAGUGGGGAGUCUUGCACGAUGGGCGGAAGCCUGAUGCCGCGACGCCGCGUGGGGGAUGCCGGCCUUCGGGUUGUGACCUCCUUUCGACCGCGAGGAAGCCACCUGGUUGAAAGGGUGGUGACGGUAGUGGUAGAAGAAGCACCGGCUAACUACGUG